rnacentral:lncRNA from 1 species
CCUUAUUCUGUGUGAGCCUAGAGCAACUGCGUGAGAACCUAUUGUCACCAAUACAUUCAUUUUUAGGAUCUAGAGACCAAGGCUGAGAGGUGUGCUCACCUGCCUAUGGUCUCGCGGCCUAUCAGUGCUGGAACCAACUGGGACCCAGCUGCUCCCUCCUUGCCCAGGAUGUUCUCCACUAUUCUGCUUGCUUGCAGGUGCCCAGAAGGUUGCCAGCAAGGCCCACGGGGACAGGCCCAAUCAACACACCUGGCCCUGAGUGGAGCUAGAGAACCAGUCAGAAGAGGCACUGGGCCCUUCGGGGGAACUUCUGGCCUGGCAUCCUGACCUCAAGGCCCUGCCUACCCUGCAAGGACCUGGCUUACCAAGUGGGAAGGAAUAGCUAAUGUGCCCCCUGGCUCAGGCCUGGCCCCAAGCCUCAAGUAGCCUGGGCUCUUUACUUGAACCCCUUAUUUUCUUCUCUGACUUAUGAGGAUUACUCAGACUGGGUAUUUCACUUGUCAGGUGCUGUGACACUUCGCUUCACCUGCCUCACUUGACCUGAGGACUGGGGCCAGCUAGGCUUUUUCCCACAUUGAGUGGUGCCAUAGUCAUAUUGUUCUUCCAUCCCAAACUUUGAGGUCAUGAUUUUGACAAUCAGUGGAGGGGCUGACAGAGGUGGUAGGCAGUGCCGGGUUGAAGGGUCCUGUGUGAACAACCCCUGGGCCCCUCCAUUCCUGCUAGAGGAGACCCUUACCAGCAUAACUGGGGUCCUUGUGGCUAAAUGAAGCAGAAACCUUGUGACAGUGUCUUAAAUGAAGGGAGUUUUGUUUUGUUUCCCCCCAAAAAAGAAAUAGAGUGGCUUCUGAAAUCAAUCAGCGGCUCUGGCCAGAGUACCAGCCAUCCGAGGUAAGAAGGAAAAGAUGUCACCAGCAGGUGUCUGUUUCUGUCUCAUUGUCCAGACGGGUCUCAUGAUUCCUAGCUGCUCUGGAGGCUGAGGAAGUGUGGGCGGUGGAGGUGGGAACGGGAGAAGGGAAAGCAGUUGGAGAUCAGGCAGUAGCAUGUUGUUUGCAAGUGAUGGAAACCUAGUUUAGACUAGGACAGGCCACAGGAAAAUCAAUUGUCUCCUAUCACCAAGUGUCAGGAAGACCGGAGAGUCGCUGGGCCUCAAGGAUUGCUAGGGCUGGUGCUCCAACACUCCAGGGCUCUACUUUGCCUUCUCUGAGCAUUGGCUUUUGUCUCUUGGACAGCCUCCUUCCUCUGAUCAACUGAAACUCAGCUGCCACUGCUCCUGAAAUCACAUGUCAUAGCUUGGCCUCCAGAAAAGAGGACGUAGUUUGUCCCUAGU